GGACUCAUGGACCCCAAAAAACACACAUGAAUCCUGAAAUUCUAUGGUCUUAAGUGCUGCAAAUAAGUGAAAUGAUUUUCAUUUGAUUACUUCAACAAUAAAAACCGUCUUUGGAGAGGAAGGGAGAGAGACAGGGGAAAAGAGUUAAGUGUUUCCAGAUAGAUAUAGAAAGAAAGAAACUUCUCCCUUUUGCGAGAGGCGCAGGACGGCGGAGGCAAGAAGGGGGGUCUGUCUGUUGGUAGUUUGGCACCACCCACCAACUCAAGCUCGGGACAUGGUCACAUGUGAAGGUAAGCUAUGUCUAUCUCACUAGAUCCUUCACUUCUGCCUACAAACAAGGUAACAGCAAUAAAUUAAGCGUUGAAACUCAAAUUAAAUGUUAAUUGUUCUCCUUAAUCGCACUCUUUGAAGCAUGAUUCAUGAAUAGAGAAGUGCUAGCUGCACAAAGUUUAUUGAUAUACAACACACUAAACAAUAUACACCCCAGUUUCAAGUCCUGACAUUUUGCUAAUGGAGGAUGGAUAGCGUCAUCAGAGGAUGGUAUCAAGUACCCAUUUCCUCAUCUUCGCCGUCCACGUCGUCAUCUAUUUCAACAGGGUGGCUGAGGAGUGGACGAGCAAGCAGCACCAGCAUAAGCAUGACUAUCCGUGCUUGUAUGAAUUUGUUUAAUUUUAAUUUUUUAUAGUUGUUUUGUUAAAAAGCCAGGGAACAAGAUACUGUACUGGGUGUACUGGGUUCUUGCUGCUAGGGUUCAUCAGUGGGUUGUUUCCUCUCCUAUGUACUGGCUCGUGGAUGCUUCUUCUCUGCUGGUUCAUAUAUUUCAGUUGCAAGAAGGGGAAAGAAAAGGGCAAUUGAUCAUUCGGUUUUGUUUGCUCAUCCUUAUCGUUAAUUAUUAUAUUGAAAUUAA